CUUUCCCUGGGAGUCAGGAAACCACGACGCUGACAGAUUUCCACUACGUAGAGGUCAUGUGAUGCAAUUUGUGGCUAGAAGGAUUUUUGGACUUCACACUUUCUGGGUUCUGAGAUGACUCAACAUUUGCCUGUUGGAUAUCUCUUUGACAAGUUUCCACCCAUUCAUUCUUGUCCUGCCGCUGAUGCCUUAGAGAAUACAGCUGGGUGUUUACAGCUUCGUGCUUUCUCCUAGAAGAAAAAAUAAUUGCUACCAACCUGCCUUCCAUUGAGGACCUGUAUACUGCAAGAAUCAAGAAGAGGGCCGUGAAAAUAUUUACAGAUCCCUCACAUCCAGGACAUAAACUGUUUCAACUCCUACCCUCAAAACGACGCUAUAGAGCACUGCACAACAGAACAACUAGACACAAGAACAGUUUUUUCCUGAAGGCCAUUACUCUGCUAAACAAAUAAUUCCUUCAACACUGUCAAACUAUUUACUAAAUCUGCACUACUAUUAAUCUUCUCAUCGUUCCCAUCACCCAUCUCUUUCCACUUAUGACUGUAUGACUGUAACUUUG